rnacentral:tRNA from 1 species
UCCUCUGUAGUUCAGUCGGUAGAACGGCGGACUGUUAAUCCGUAUGGCACUGGUUCGAGACCAGUCAGAGGAGCCA